rnacentral:rRNA from 1 species
UACGUAGGGGGCAAGCGUUGUCCGGAAUCAUUGGGCGUAAAGCGCGUGUAGGCGGCCCGAUAAGUCCGCUGUGAAAGUCCAGGGCUCAACCCUGGGAUGCCGGUGGAUACUGUCGGGCUCGAGUCCGGAAGAGGCGAGUGGAAUUCCUGGUGUAGCGGUGAAAUGCGCAGAUAUCAGGAGGAACACCAAUGGUGAAGGCAGCUCGCUGGGACGUGACUGACGCUGAGACGCGAAAGCGUGGGGAGCAAACAGG